AGCGAACGCUGGCGGCAGGCUUAACACAUGCAAGUCGAGCGGGCACUUUCGGGUGUCAGCGGCGGACGGGUGAGUAACGCGUGGGAACGUGCCCUCUGGUUCGGAAUAACUCAGGGAAACUUGAGCUAAUACCGGAUACGCCCUUUUGGGGAAAGGCUUGCUGCGGGAGGAUCGGCCCGCGUCUGAUUAGUUAGUUGGUGAGGUAACGGCUCACCAAGGCGACGAUCAGUAGCUGGUCUGAGAGGAUGAUCAGCCACACUGGGACUGAGACACGGCCCAGACUCCUACGGGAGGCAGCAGUGGGGAAUAUUGGACAAUGGGCGCAAGCCUGAUCCAGCCAUGCCGGGUGAGUGAUGAAGGCCUUAGGGUUGUAAAGCUCUUUUAUCCGGGACGAUAAUGACGGUACCGGAGGAAUAAGCCCCGGCUAACUUCGUG
rnacentral:rRNA from 1 species